rnacentral:rRNA from 1 species
CCUACGGGAGGCAGCAGUGAGGAAUAUUGGUCAAUGGGCGGAAGCCUGAACCAGCCAAGUCGCGUGCAGGAUGACGGCCCUAUGUGUUGUAAACUGCUUUAGCUGUGGAGAAAUAAGGUGGUCGAGACCACCGAUGCAUGUACCCUAUGAAUAAGGACCGGCUAAUUCCGUGCCAGCAGCCGCGGUAAU